CAAAAUGGUGACUAGGGUUCCGGUUCGAUUUCGAACGUCAGCGACCGAGAGUUGCCGGCUUCUUUCGGGGAGCUACACGGCGGGAUAAAAGCCCGGGAGGU
rnacentral:sRNA from 2 species